AGAGAGACACCUGGCACAAAGGAUUUUUGCCAUUCCGUUUCAUUUUGGCCUUAUUUCUUCCUGUGGUCGUGAAGCAGCAAACAAAUCUCUCAUCCAAGAGGACUGCAUUUGGCAUAAGUAGAAGUGGCCCUCUAGUCUGUGAGGAGUUUAAGCACAAAUAAUCCAGACUUGAUUACUAUUCUCUUUAUUGAUCUGGAUGACUGUGUGUUCUCACGAAAACUAUUGGUGACUUGUCAGAGGCAUGGCUGAAGUGCCAAGGAGCAGCAAGAGGAAAAGAAACCACCCAAAAAAACAGUGAAUUCAACUCUCAAAGGUACUUUCAAGUUGUUCAGGCACCAGCACUUUGAUACCUCUACAAAAUCAUCUACCAAGGCUGGGAACAGAAAGAGAGAUGUUUCACAGGAAUGCUUUCACCUGAAUGCUGGUGAAACUUAUAACAUUCCUUAUCUGGUCUCUACUGAUUUUAAUUUUUCUUUCAUUCUGUAUAAGCAUUUGCCUGUUUGGAGCUUCUUCUGGUAGAUUCCUAAAUGUAAGUCAAGACUGCCUUUCUAGUUCUCACUCUUUCCUCUCUCUUUUAGAUACAUAUGUUAGAAAGGAUAUAAGGUUUUACUUCAGUAGAGGGCAUUUGUCUAUACUACAUUGGUAGUUUUGGGGAUGUUAGUUGGAUUUUGUGAAAAUGUGGAUUACUUUCUUAGUUUCCUUAAGGAAUGGUAGUGUUAGAAAUCAUUCCAUGAGAUUUGUCUUCUUUUUAAAUUAGAGGUAGACUCUUCAGUUGAAAUUAGAUAGAAGUCAGUAGAUAACUAUUAAUUCAGGAUAUUUGUGUGAUAAGCACACCAGGUUCAGGAGUUUUCCUGUUGUAUCCAUUAUUUAUUGCAUUUCCACCAAUCUCCAAACUGACCUGCAAUAGUAGGAAACAAACUCAGCUUUCCAGACUUCCCAAAAUUGCUUUUGCAUGUACAGACAAAGAGAUUAUCUGCAGCACUAUGAAGAAUCCCAAUAAUAUUUAUUAUAUUUUUCUGAGUUCCAAACAAGUUAAUUUGAUGUGUCUAGUCUAGCAAUUAAAAAAAAAAGGUUAAAAUAGCGCUUAUAAAUUUUGAAAUUGUUUCAUUUAAAAAAAAAAAAAUUCACAGUAGAAUCUUUCACAGUAGAUUCCCCAUUUAGCUGGAAUAGGACACAAACUGUCCAGAAGGGUGUGGGAAUAGAAAUUGUGAUGAAAACAGUAUUUUUUAAUUACUUCUGCAGAAAGAAAUUUUUUUUCCCUCACAUCUGCUUCAAUUAAAAUUUACUCACUUUUCUGCUAGACAAAGUGAAUCCAGCAGGAGGCAGGCCCUCUUUUCAGGGCCUGCUUCCAUGCACUUUAGGAAUUCACCCUCAUUUUCCUAUGAGCAUGAGCCAGCAUGUUACUUCUAGCUUAAAGAUCCUUUCUGCUGUGGUAAGUAUUUUCAAUAUUUUCAGGCCUUUUCCAACACUUUAUAAAUCACAAGAUUCACCAUACUUGGAUUCUAUUAAAUUGACAGUCUCUAUUUUGGCAUUUGUUCUUUGCGCAGUUCAUGUGUGACACAAUGAUCAUAAAAUGCCCUGCCUCUUGUUUUAAUUAGUUUUCUAAAACUUCCUACUUUUCUUUUCCUACAUGGUGUUGUCAGGAAGUCAUGAAGUUAUAUUUUAUAAUGUUGGUUUUAAAUUAUUAACUGAAAAUAAAAUGAACUAUUAGCAAAAUUUAAGACAGAAUUUUUGCUUUAACACGAUAAAACAAAAGAACAUAACGUGUAGUGCAUCUUCCCAAAGUACUUUUUGCAGAUGCUCCCUCUGCACUUCUAGCUUUAUUUUUAAAGAUGAAGCAAGUCUGUUACUGACUUCAAUUUUUUCAUGGAAUUAAUUGAAUUAAUAAAUUGAUAAUUUGACUUAAUCAGAUUUUUGAAGUGCCAAUGUGUCUUACACUGAAGAACUAAGCAAUGUGUGUCAGUGCAGAAAGGUGUUCACCAACAGUUAUUGUUUUUUUGGGGGAGCAAGGCAACAGGGGGUUGGCACAGCUGCAUUUAAUUUCAAUUUAAUGCUAGUUUGGUUCCUGAAUUAGUUACUGUAUUUUCAAUAUCCUGAAAGUACCAUAAACAAAUAAACUGCACAUCUUGAAAGAUACAUCUGUGUAAGAAAUAUAAAAUACUUAUCUUUUUCAAAACAGAAGCUAAUAUAUUUGGUUCUUUUAACUAGUUUGUUUUCAAUCCUUGCUCUCAGGUGUAACUGUCAAAGCUGAAAUAUCAUUCUGUUUAUUGGUGCUACUAAAACCAGUCCGUUCACAAGGUGAGGUUCUUAGUCACACAAACACCAGGAACAAUUAAAUUUCAAUUGCUAUCAAUCUAGUCACUGAAAAAUUCAUUUUUCGGCUAUUUUUCAGCUCACUGCUGGAAAGUCAGCAUGACUGAAUUAAAAGUGCUUGUAAUCUCGCAAUGAUGGAUGCUAUCUCUCCUGAUCUGGUCAUACUAUACUCAGCAGAGAUACAAUUGGGGUGCUUCAAGGGUAUUAGCAGAUUAAUGUUUAAAACUGAUGUAUUACAUAGCAAAUCUGCAAUAAUGAUUGUACUAAAAUACUACAGGGAAUCGUAGUUGCAGGUGAGGUGAUAAUUCUCCUAUUAUGAACACAUCAGCUGAGUAGUGUUUAUUUUUGUGUUACUAUGGGAUAGAAAGACAUCAUCUCUGAAGAGAAAGAGUUUCCUCUUAGUAGCUGUUAAUGCUCAGGUAUUUCAGAGCCUUAUCAUUUUAGA